AGAGUUUGAUCCUGGCUCAGGACGAACGCUGGCGGCGCGCCUAACACAUGCAAGUCGAACGGAGAUGCAUUUAGCUUGCUAGAAGCAUCUUAGUGGCGGACGGGUGAGUAACACGUGAGCAACCUGCCUUUGUGUGGGGGAUAACGUCUGGAAACGGACGCUAAUACCGCAUAAUGCUGAGAUACCGCAUGGUAAUUCAGCCAAAGAUUUAUCGCACAGAGAUGGGCUCGCGGCUGAUUAGCUAGUUGGUGAGGUAACGGCCCACCAAGGCGACGAUCAGUAGCCGGACUGAGAGGUUGAUCGGCCACAUUGGGACUGAGACACGGCCCAGACUCCUACGGGAGGCAGCA
rnacentral:rRNA from 1 species